rnacentral:rRNA from 1 species
ACUCCUACGGGAGGCAGCAGUGGGGAAUUUUGGACAAUGGGCGAAAGCCUGAUCCAGCAAUGCCACGUGAGUGAAGAAGGCCUUCGGGUUGUAAAGCUCUUUUGUCAGGGAAGAAACGGUGAAAGCUAAUAUCUUUUGCUAAUGACGGUACCUGAAGAAUAAGCACCGGCUAACUACGUGCCAGCAGCCGCGGUAAUACGUAGGGUGCAAGCGUUAAUCGGAAUUACUGGGCGUAAAGCGUGCGCAGGCGGUUUUGUAAGUCUGAUGUGAAAUCCCCGGGCUCAACCUGGGAAUUGCAUUGGAGACUGCAAGGCUAGAAUCUGGCAGAGGGGGGUAGAAUUCCACGUGUAGCAGUGAAAUGCGUAGAUAUGUGGAGGAACACCGAUGGCGAAGGCAGCCCCCUGGGUCAAGAUUGACGCUCAUGCACGAAAGCGUGGGGAGCAAACAGGAUUAGAAACCCCUGUAGUCCCA